rnacentral:rRNA from 1 species
UACGAAGGGUGCAAGCGUUAUUCGGAAUUACUGGGCGUAAAGGGUGCGUAGGCGGUUGUUUAAGUCUGUCGUGAAAUCCCCGGGCUCAACCUGGGAAUGGCGAUGGAUACUGGGCAGCUAGAGUGUGGCAGAGGAUGGUGGAAUUCCCGGUGUAGCGGUGAAAUGCGUAGAGAUCGGGAGGAACAUCAGUGGCGAAGGCGGCCAUCUGGGACAACACUGACGCUGAAGCACGAAAGCGUGGGGAGCAAACAGG